rnacentral:rRNA from 1 species
CGCCAGACUCCUACGGGAGGCAGCAGUGGGGAAUAUUGCACAAUGGGGGAAACCCUGAUGCAGCGACGCCGCGUGAGCGAUGAAGUAUUUCGGUAUGUAAAGCUCUAUCAGCAGGGAAGAAGAUGACGGUACCUGACUAAGAAGCCCCGGCUAACUACGUGCCAGCAGCCGCGGUAAUACGUAGGGGGCAAGCGUUAUCCGGAUUUACUGGGUGUAAAGGGAGCGUAGACGGCGGUGCAAGCCAGAUGUGAAAGCCCGGGGCUCAACCCCGGGACUGCAUUUGGAACUGUAUGGCUGGAGUGUCGGAGAGGCAGGCGGAAUUCCUAGUGUAGCGGUGAAAUGCGUAGAUAUUAGGAGGAACACCAGCGGCGAAGGCGGCCUGCUGGACGAUGACUGACGUUGAGGCUCGAAAGCGUGGGGAGCAAACAGGAUUAGAUACCCUCGUAC